rnacentral:rRNA from 1 species
UGGCGGCAGGCCUAACACAUGCAAGUCGAGCGGUAACAUUUCUAGCUUGCUAGAAGAUGACGAGCGGCGGACGGGUGAGUAACGCGUAGAAAUCUACCUAGUAGUGGGGGAUAGCCCAGAGAAAUUUGGAUUAAUACCGCAUACGCCCUACGGGGGAAAGCGGGGGAUCUUCGGACCUCGUGCUAUUAGAUGAGUCUGCGUCGGAUUAGCUUGUUGGUGAGGUAAUGGCUCACCAAGGCGACGAUCCGUAGCUGGUCUGAGAGGAUGACCAGCCACACUGGAACUGAGACACGGUCCAGACUCCUACGGGAGGCAGCAGUGGGGAAUAUUGCACAAUGGGCGCAAGCCUGAUGCAGCCAUGCCGCGUGUGUGAAGAAGGCCUUAGGGUUGUAAAGCACUUUCAGCAGUGAGGAAAGGGGUGUCGUUAAUAGCGCCAUCCUGUGACGUUAACUGCAGAAGAAGGACGGCUAACUCCGUG